UCUUGUGUGUGAAGCGCCCCCAGCUCAUCCCCCUCUCGUCUCUAUCCGUUCCAUUCGAAUCCCCUUGUCUUUCCCCCUUCUUUCCUUUGCCUUCCUCAGUUCCUUUCUUUCCCUUGUUCUCGAUCUACAAUUGUUGGGUCCCUGUGCUAUAAUCGAACCGCCUCCGCUUCCAAUUUCAAUUGUUGAGCUGAGUUGCAUGUAAUGGAGCAUUCAGUUGGAACCGUCAUUGAUACGGUGGGUAGCGAUGAGAAGGGUGACAAAGAGAAUAACGAUAACAAGACCUGCGAUUCAGAGCCCGUGGUUUACCAACUUGUUCGGGUUGAAGGUGAUGGAAGGCUAGUUCCUGCUACUGAUGACGAGGUUAUGGAGGUAGAGCAGUUGCUUGAAGGUGAGAAGAGGGAAGUUAAAGCUAUCAGGAAUGAUAAAGGAUGUCUUUCCGGUGAAGUUUUCUCCAAGUCUGACUUGGAAGGAAUCAUUCAAUCUGGGAAUGCUGAUGAUUCGAAAAAGUUGAAUGCUAGGCUUGAGAAUAUAAAGGUGAUGUUGCAAAAAGUUAAACAGGAAGAGCAGCUAUUGUUGUCGGGUGAAUCAUUUAAUCAUCCUCCAAAAUGUAUGACCAUAGAGGAUCCAGCAUCUGAGAGAUGUAAGAACUCUAAAGCCUGUAAUAACAAGCUCCAACCUGAGAUUACAUCUAGGGAAAUAAUGCCAAGAUCUCUGGAGCUUAAUAGCAUCCACGAUUUUGAGGUAGGAAGUGCUGAAACAUGCUCAGGUCCCACAAACGAGGCAGUAUCUAGUAAAUCAUCCAUUUCUGAGUCUUGCACUAGUUUAUUCCCUGAUUUUUCUAUUCUAAGAGGAGAGAUUUGCUUGGAUAAUUUUUCAAUCCGGGAGCUUCAGGAAGCUUUUAGAACUACCUUUGGGCGUCAGACUUCUGUUAAAGAUAAAUUGUGGCUGAAGCGACGGAUAGCAAUGGGGUUAACAAAUUCCUGUCAUGUUCCGUCAACAAGUUUUACUAUCAAAGACAACAAAAUAAUUCUCAGUGAGGCAAAAGAAGGAGAACCUGAAAGAUUGCAACAGUCCAAAAAUGAAGCUGAAUCUUUAUCUAUGAACAUUCAUUUAAUAAAUGCCAGUUCCCAAGAUUUUAAAACCACCUUGAAUAACAAUAUGACAGACCAACAAUUGUCUGGUAAAAGACUUGGAUUAUCACCCUCAAAUCAUGAUGUGAAUGAUGAAAAUUGUCAAAUGGAGCACUGUGCUGCCAAAAGGAUGCGGAAGCCCACGAAGCGAUAUAUUGAGGAACUCUCGGAGCUUGAGACCAGGGAAUGUACUGCUAAAUCAUAUUCAUGCGUGAAAAUUUCUGAACGUAGUCAUUUCCCUUCAAAACGUCAGAUCAAGCCCGUUUGUGAUGGUAAAACCCAAAGAAGAAUCUUUUCAACCAGGCAUAUAUCUGUGGGAGGAUUCAGUUUUGAGGUACCGUAUGUGCUCAGAACCAGAAGAAGGCAACCUAGGAAGAAUUUCGUGGAUCUUAUGGAAUACAACCCUGCUACCAUCUCUCACAUGGUAAAAGCAGCUGUUAUGAUUCCUGCACUGGAAGAAGGCAGCGGUAAUGGAAGCAGAUCUAGGGAAAUCGUAUCUGUUCCAGUGCAGAUAUUACAGCUGAGUGUUGCUGGUGAAGGGGACGUGAAAAUGAAUACAAAAACAUUGAAUUGUGAAGAGGAUUUAGAUCUUCACCAUAAAGGAUUAGAUGCAAAUGGAGAUACAACAUACGGUAAUGCUAAUACACAGCCAGCACCUAAGGGUAGCGCAAGGAGGAAGCAUCAUAGGGCUUGGACUUUAUGUGAGGUUCGGAAGCUAGUCGAUGGAGUAGCUAAGUACGGAGCUGGAAGGUGGUCCGAGAUCAGAAGACUAGCCUUUGCCUCUUAUUCUUAUCGAACCUCUGUUGAUCUUAAGGAUAAAUGGAGGAACCUACUGAGGGCCAGCUUAGCACAAUACCCUACUAAGAAAGAGGCAAAGAACUUUGGCAAACAGACUUCUGUACCAAUACCAACACCCAUUCUAUCUCAGGUAAGGGAAUUGGCAAAAUUGCAGACACAGACUGGAAUCAAACCUAGCCCAAAAAAGUUUGCAGGCCGUGGAGGCAGACCGCUACAAGGAGAAGGAUCUGGUUUUUUGUAACACCCAUGAGCUUCCACCAUCUGCUUCUAUUUUCAGACUCAGCAACUUGCCAGGAUCAGCUUCUCAACAUAUUCUUGGAUGUUCUCCCUAUUGAGCUUUGUUCACUGGUCAAGAAAAUUCUGAUAGUGGCCUUCAAUCAUGUUGAUUAAAUUUGGUUUCCUUGAAAUUUGCUGGUGGCGACAUCUCAUACACUCCAAUAUGGAUUCUGUGCUUCAACCUCAAUAGAAGGAUUCUCGAACACGACGCAUCAUCUGACUGCCAACUCCGCCACAGCUCCGGAAAUAAGUAUAUACAGUUUCUGUGGGAUCCUUUUCAUUUGGCCCGAAGGAAGAGAUGCAUCU